GCCAGGAUGGCCGAGCGGACUAAGGCGCUGCGUUCAAGUCGCAGGGUACUCUCGUGUGGGCGUGGGUUCGAAUCCCACUUCUGGCA